UGGGGAAUUUUGUACAAUGGGGGAAACCCCGAUCCAGCCAUCCCGCGUGUGCGAUGAAGGCCUUCGGGUUGUAAAGCACUUUUUGCAGGAAAGAAACGUCAUGGGUUAAUACCCCGUGAAACUGACGGUACCUGCAGAAUAAGCACCGGCUAACUACGUGCCAGCAGCCGCGGUAAUACGUAGGGUGCAAGCGUUAAUCGGAAUUACUGGGCGUAAAGCGUGCGCAGGCGGUUCGGAAAGAAAGAUGUGAAAUCCCAGAGCACAACUUUAGAACUGCAUUUUUAACUACCGGGCUAGAGUGUGUCAGAGGGAGGUAGAAUUCCGCGUGUAGCAGUGAAAUGCGUAGAUAUGCGGAGGAACACCGAUGGCGAAGGCAGCCUCCUGGGAUAACACUGACGCUGAUGCACGAAAGCGUGGGGAGCAAACAGG
rnacentral:rRNA from 1 species